rnacentral:rRNA from 1 species
UACGGGGGGGGUAAGCGUUGUUCGGAAUUACUGGGCGUAAAGGGCUCGUAGGCGGCCAACUAAGUCAGACGUGAAAUCCCUCAGCUUAACUGGGGAACUGCGUCUGAUACUGGAUGGCUUGGAUUCGGGAGAGGAAUGCGGAAUUCCAGGUGUAGCGGUGAAAUGCGUAGAUAUCUGGAGGAACACCGGUGGCGAAGGCGGCAUCUGGAC